rnacentral:lncRNA from 1 species
CUAAGAUUCUGACUGGAAUAGUAGAUACUUCCUCGUAAACAGAUUGAGGAAGCUGUCAUAUCCACAUUUGCUUGGAGACAGGUUCAUUCAUAGGAAAAUAGGAGGAGGACACAAGACUAUGUAUCUCUGUGUCAGACAUAGAAUGUCGACAUUACAAAGACCGUUAGCACCUCUUGGUGAAUCACUGCAAAAUCCCACUCCUGAAAGGGUUGCAGUUGGAGCUCGGCAAUUGUGGCGCCAGCGUGUGAUUGUGGCAAGACAGCCUGACCGCUCAAAAAUGGCUGAGCUAACAAGGACAGGAGAGCAAGCGAGGUUUGCAGCUUUUGCAAGUGUUGACAAAGAAGAAGCGGCGAACGCAAAAGGGCGGGGAGAGAGUGGAAUGUGGAGUGGACAAUCCAAUUCUUUCUGUUGUUUGGUCAGCCCUUGAGGUCACCACAACAAUAAAUGGAUAUUUUGAAGAGGACCAAAUAAGAGGAAAUGCUUUUGGAAUGCGGUUAUCCAAGUUUCAACUUGGAAACCUUCAAGGACUCUCUGCCAAGUCUCAGGAAAACAACGCAUGCUGACAAAUUGGUUGAAUCGUGAUCAAAGCACCUGCCACACUGAGAACCUGAAACAGGCACCAUUUGGCAGUUCACAAGGUCACUUGUUUUGUAUGAGGAAAGAAGAUGUGCCAAAAUAUGCUUUCAAUCAUAUGCAUGUAGAUAAUAGCAUCUUUUUUUUUAAGUUAGCAAUGUGAAUGAUGCAUGAGAAUACGUUUUUAACAGUUCCAAACCUUUCCUAUUUUUCUUUCUUCUUUUUAAGCACCACUUGGCGUUCAUUAUGAUCUUUCUGGAUCUGGAGCUGUGUUUCAUUAAAUACCUGUUUUCUGUUACCUACUUUUUAAAAUUAGUGUCCUGCUGAGUUCAGUGCUUGUUGUGUGUUUUCUCUGUUUGUAAUGGCACACAAACAUGUAAACAUGAAAUAAAACACUUUGACCAAAUUCCAUUUAACUGCUUAUUAUUUUAUUCAUUAAUUAUUUUUUUUAUUUUUUUUGUUUUUUCCCAUUUGCAUGUUCUGUAGACGUUGUAAGAAAUUGAGAAGUGGUAAGGCAA